CGAUCCAGCAAUACCGCGUGUGUGAAGAAGGCCUGAGGGUUGUAAAGCACUUUCAAUGGGGAGGAAAACCUGCCGGCCAAUACCCGGCAGCUUGACAUUACCUAUAGAAGAAGCACCGGCUAACUCCGUGCCAGCAGCCGCGGUAAUACGGAGGGUGCAAGCGUUAAUCGGAAUUACUGGGCGUAAAGCGUGCGUAGGCGGUUGCUUAAGUCAGAUGUGAAAGCCCCGGGCUUAACCUGGGAACUGCAUUUGAUACUGGGCAACUAGAGUUUAAUAGAGGAGAGUGGAAUUUCAGGUGUAGCGGUGAAAUGCGUAGAGAUCUGAAGGAACACCAGUGGCGAAGGCGACUCUCUGGAUUAAAACUGACGCUGAGGUACGAAAGCGUGGGUAGCAAACAGGAUUAGAUACCCUGGUAGUCCACGCCGUAAACGAUGUCAACUAGCCGUUGGGCCUUUUUACAGGCUUAGUGGCGCAGCUAACGCAUUAAGUUGACCGCCUGGGGAGUACGGCCGCAAGGUUA
rnacentral:rRNA from 1 species